AUUUAUAAAGGUUUAAAUCCUUUUCUUUUUA
rnacentral:tRNA from 1 species